rnacentral:rRNA from 1 species
GACGAACGCUGGCGGCGUGCUUAACACAUGCAAGUCGAACGGAAAGGCCCUGCUUUUGUGGGGUGCUCGAGUGGCGAACGGGUGAGUAACACGUGAGUAACCUGCCCUUGACUUUGGGAUAACUUCAGGAAACUGGGACUAAUACCGGAUAGGAGCUCCUGCUGCAUGGUGGGGGUGGGAAAGUUUCGGCGGUUGGGGAUGGACUCGCGGCUUAUCAGCUUGUUGGUGGGGUAGUGGCUUACCAAGGCUUUGACGGGUAGCCGGCCUGAGAGGGUGACCGGCCACAUUGGGACUGAGAUACGGCCCAGACUCCUACGGGAGGCAGCAGUGGGGAAUAUUGUACAAUGGGCGGAAGCCUGAUGCAGCAACGCCGCGUGCGGGAUGACGGCCUUCGGGUUGUAAACCGCUUUCGCCUGUGACGAAGCGUGAGUGACGGUAAUGGGUAAAGAAGCACCGGCUAACUACGUG